CCAGUAUUUAGGGAGCAACUCCAUUGCGAAUGAAAUCUCUGGUAUAAAUAAGAAAAGAAUCAGAUCCAUCAUUUUUUACUUGAGAUGUGAAGAUUAGAAAUGACGGGUGACAGGAAAGGAUAGAGGAGAAUCUUUGCAAACAGAUAUCCCUCCAACGAAGGAAUGUUGUCUAAUAUUUUCUUUUAUGGGCUACCUGAACCUAUCACCCUCGGGAAAACAGCUGCUGAUGUAAGGUGGCAUGAUGUGGAUGCUUUAAGGACCAGCUUGAUCGUCUAUCAAAUAAAGAUAUCACAAAAAGCCAUUUCCAUGGUAAAGGGUGAGACCUUUGUCAGCUGCCUCCUAGGGAUUUCUUCUUGUUUCUGUGAAGACUGGUAGACUAAAUUCCAGGCAUGUUUAAAAGCUCUGACUGCACUACAGAACCAACUAAAACCUGGCACAUGAUAAAACAGAACUAUUUUGGGCAAGAUAUAUUCAUCAUAUCCCCUGCCUCCAACAUUGGUUCAGUCUUUCUAGACGCUUUAUUAAUUGGCUAAAAUGUUGUUCAUC